UACGGAGGGUGCAAGCGUUAAUCGGAAUUACUGGGCGUAAAGCGCGCGUAGGCGGCUCGGUCAGUCGGGUGUGAAAUCCCUGGGCCCAACCUGGGAACUGCAUUCGAUACUGCCGAGCUAGAGUGUGGGAGAGGGUGGUGGAAUUCCCGGUGUAGCGGUGAAAUGCGUAGAUAUCGGGAGGAACAUCAGUGGCGAAGGCGACCGCCUGGCCCAACACUGACGCUGAGGUGCGAAAGCGUGGGUAGCAAACAGG
rnacentral:rRNA from 1 species